CUGGACCUCCACCCAGCUCUGUGUCCUCUAAGAGCAAACGGGUGAAGCAUUUAUUUCGUAAUUUAGGGCGAAAAAAGUCAUCUGACGAAAACGUCAAUCAGAAACCAUCCAGCUCUGUGUCCUUAAAGAGUGACCGGUCCAAUCGUCAAGGCAUUGAUUUUAAAUCCCAGCCUGUGUCUGCUGCAGAGAGAGGUCAGAGGUCACAGUCUGCAGGAUCCAGCUGUCCGUCUAUAAGGAGUGACCGGUCCAAACAUCAACCUCCAGACUUCAGUGAUGAACCUGGACCAACGAGGUCAGAGACCUGUGAUGACUCCUUUACAUGUUUGUGUUUUCCUGGAUAAAUAUGACCAAAGAUUCAUUAAAAAGAUAAAAA